GGAUGGUUGGCCGAGUGGUCUAAGGCACCUGUCUCGAAAACAGGAGAGGGCGAGAGUCCUCCGCGGGUUCGAAUCCUUCGCACCAUCC
rnacentral:tRNA from 1 species